UACCAGCACCCCCGAGUGGUCGGGACGAUUAUUGGGCCUAAAGCAUCCGUAGCCGGUCCUGCGAGUCUUCCGUUAAAUCCAGCUGCUCAACAGAUGGGCUGCGGAAGAUACUACAGGGCUAGGAGGCGGGAGAGGCAAGCGGUACUUUAUGGGGUAGGGGUAAAAUCCUUUGAUCCAUAGAAGACCACCAGUGGCGAAGGCGGCUUGCCAGAACGCGCUCGACGGUGAGGGAUGAAAGCUGGGGGAGCAAACGGG
rnacentral:rRNA from 1 species